GGUGCCGUAGGCAAAUUGGUAAAGCCAUAGGACUUUCAAUCUUGUGUUUGCGGGUACUGCUCCGCAGAAGCGAGCUACAACUCCCGUCGGCACUGCCA
rnacentral:tRNA from 2 species